UACGUAGGGGGCGAGCGUUGUCCGGAUUUAUUGGGCGUAAAGAGCGUGUAGGCGGCCAGGUAGGUCCGUUGUGAAAACUCGAGGCUCAACCUCGAGACGUCGAUGGAAACCAUCUGGCUAGAGUCCGGAAGAGGAGAGUGGAAUUCCUGGUGUAGCGGUGAAAUGCGCAGAGUAUCAGGAAGAACACCUAUGGCGAAGGCAGCUCUCUGGGACGGUACUGACGCUGAGACGCGAAAGCGUGGGGAGCGAACAGG
rnacentral:rRNA from 1 species